CCUACGGGAGGCUGCAGUGGGGAAUAUUGGGCAAUGGAGGCAACUCUGACCCAGCAACGCCGCGUGAAGGAAGAAUGCCCUAGGGUUGUAAACUUAUGUUUUAAAGGAAGAAAAGAAUGACGGUACUUUACAAGAAAGCCCCGGCUAACUAUGUGCCAGCAGCAUCGGUAAGACAUAGGGGGCAAGCGUUGUUCGGAAUUACUGGGUGUAAAGGGAGCGUAGGCGGGAGAUUAAGUUAAGAGUGAAAGCAUUGGGCUCAACCCAAGAAAUGCAAUUGAUACUGGUUUUCUAGAGUGUGGGUGAGGUAAGUGGAAUUCUUGGUGUAGCGGUGGAAUGCGUAGAGAUUAGGAGGAACAUCAGAGGCGAAGGCGGCUUACUGGACCAUAACUGACGCUGAGGCUCGAAAGCGUGGGGAGCAAACAGGAUUAGAUACCCGGGUAGUC
rnacentral:rRNA from 1 species